rnacentral:tRNA from 1 species
GGGGAUUUAGCUCAGUGGUAGAGCGCUUGCCUAGGAAGCGCAAGGAAGCGCAAGGCCCUGGGUUCGGUCCCCAGCUCCG